UACGUAGGGGGCAAGCGUUGUCCUGAUUUAUUGGGCGUAAAGAGCGUGUAGGCAGCCUUACAGGUCAGCUGUGAAAACUCGAGGCUCAACCUCGAGACGUCGGUUGAAACCGUAAGGCUAGAGUCCGGAAGAGGAGAGUGGAAUUCCCGGUGUAGCGGUGAAAUGCGCAGAUAUCGGGAAGAACACCCGUGGCGAAGGCGGCUCUCUGGGACGGUACUGACGCUGAGACGCGAAAGCGUGGGGAGCGAACAGG
rnacentral:rRNA from 1 species